rnacentral:lncRNA from 1 species
ACACCCGGGUGGUUCUGGCUACGGGUACCCGGACCUGCCCAACGACCGUUCUCCAUUCCCGACCUCCGCACCCUACCCGGUCCGCAGGGCACCUUCCUCCUCUCUCUCAGGCACGUCCUCGACCUCAGUUGCCACGUGCACAUGCUGGUGCCUUCCAGGUACCAGUCAGGACUGGUAGACUUUAAUGUGGAGAACUUCUGAAACAGCAGUUCUCAAAAUGUUACCUCCAGACACACAGAAUCUGCAUCACCCAGGAACUUGUAACCAUGCAAAUUCUCAGCCACCCAGACUUCCUGCAUCAGAAACUCUGGGGCCCAGCAGCCUGUGUUUUAACAAAGCCCUUCAGGCUGGAGUAUAGUGGCAUGAUCAUAGAUCACUGCAGCCUCAAACUCCUGGGCUCAAGCGAUCCUCCCACCUCAGCCUCCAUAUAGCUGGUGGGGACCAAGUUUCUAACACAUGAAUGUUGGGAGACACAUUCAGACCAUCGCAGUGGCCUUAUAAAAAGAGACACAAGAGCUUGCUCUCUGCCAUGUGAGAAUACCACAAGAAGACUGUCCUCAGCAAAUCAGAAAGCGGGUGGACCCUCAUCAGACACCAGAUGUGCCUGCACCUUGAUCUUGGACUUGCCAGCCUUCAGAACAGUAAGAAAGAAAUGUGUGUUGUUUAAGCCACCCAGUCUAUGGUAACUUGCUAUAGCAGCCCACUAGGAGACCCCAAGAUAUUUAAAAACUCAUCAGCACCUGCUUUCUGCAUCUGGACCCUGAUCUUCUGGUGGGUUUACCAGUUACUUGUAGAGUGUCCCUGUGAUAGUUUUAGGUGUCAACUUGACAGGAUUGAGGGAUGCCUAGAUGGCUGGGGAAGCACUGUUUCUGAGAAGGACCAUGUUUUUGGAGGAGACUGUUUUAUGAGUGAAUUUCAGGGGACACAUUCAGAUCAUGGCAGUGGCAUUAUAAAGAGAGACACAAAAGCUUGCUCUCUCUCUCUGCCAUGUAAGACUACCACACAAAGACUGCCAUCUGCAAACCAGAAGCAGGUGGGCCUUCCAACUUGGAUCAGGCCAUGCCACCGGCUUCUCUGAUUCUCCAGCUUGCAGAUGGUAUAUUGUGACCCUGGCAUUUAAUAACUAUGACUUUGGUCUUAAGCAAUUUUCUUCCUCUGUGGAUUGAUAUUUACAUAUCAAUGUGGAUAAUAAUUUCUUACCACGGUAACUGUUGUGAGGUAAAAAUGAGUUAACAUAAGUAAAACCGAGCACAUGCAAACCAUCCGAAAUGGUUAAUACUUACUAUUUGUACUUGAAGAAAUAAAUGUUUUUGACAAUAAA